UCUCUCUGUGGAGAGAGAGGAGGGACCUGCCUCUAAAAGGUGUCUCUCUGGGAAGAGAGAGGAGGGACCUGCCUCUAAAAGGCAUCUCUCUGUGGAAGAAAAGGAGGGACCUGCCUCUAAAAUGAGUCUCUCUUGGGAGAGAGAGGAGGGACCUGCCUCUAAAAGGCAUCUCUCUGGGGAGAGAGAGGAGGGGGCCCCUGCCUCUAAAAUGUGGCUCUCUGGGGAACAUGACACCAAAUCUAAGAGUCCAAUCAGGCAGGAGAGACCAGCCUCCCUGUUCCCAGCUGUGUGUCCAUGAAGAGUGACCGGUCUAUGGAUCCUCCUCUAUACUUUAGAGAGGGAGACUUUUCUACUGAACAAAGGUAAGAAGAACUCAUGGGUCCUGGUCAGUGAGUUAAACAACACUGUCUCUAGUCAUUUCUCCUCUCCCACUUUCCCAUUUAUUGUUGCUGUUUUCAUAAUCUGUAGGCUAAUCAUUUUGUCCAUUUUCAUAUUCCUAAAACAAUAUUAAACAAACUCCACAUUCCGUCUGUGUGUGUGUGUGUG
ensembl:lncRNA